AAAAACUCGAACAAUUCCGAAAGCAACUCGGCAACUGAGAAGACCGAGCGAAUUAAAGGUGCCGAAACAAAAAAUAGUGGAGGCGAAAUGAAUUGAAUGUAACUCAAUCUUGAAUUAUUUAAUUGACAAGUUACUUUAGCUUGUAUUAACGAUUGUAAAGUAUUAAUGAGUAACAUAGACAGUCUUCAUUACAGAACAAAGUAACACCACGAAUUGCCCAAAGGAUCUGGAAAGUUCCAGAAUGUUCAGUUGUGCUAAUUGUUUCGCAAAAGUCUGUAGUCAAGAUCAGAUUAACGUUGCAGUACUACCAUUCCAGUACUUCAUUCCUGAAGAAGGGCUUAAGCCCGAAAUGUCGAUUCUCCUGUUCCUUGGAUGCUGCCUGACCUGCUGUGCUUUUCUAGCAACACAUUUUCAGCUCUGAUCUCCAGCAUCUGCAGCCCUCACUUUCUCUUAUAGACAUUUAGGUCCCAUGUUACAGUGCUGUUUAUUAUCCUCACACCACAGCUAUUCUGCCUGUAUCUGCACUGUUCAGGAUUUGGUCACACAAGCAUACAAAUACAUCAACAAAGUCUUCAAGCUAUGUAAUUUGAAAAUAAUUAAUUAAUCAAUAUUUGUCUGUGAAUUAAGGGCAGUGAUUUGGUUUCAAUGUUCUGCUGAUACUCAUGAACCAUUCAAGCACUUUUGUCAAUUUUUUUCUUUAAAUUGUUUUUAUAUCCAGAAGUAUUUUCAUACAAUACUGAAUGCUUUUUUUUCACCACCAUCACCUGUGUUACUUUUCAACAUGAUCCACCACAAAUAAAUCAUGUGUUUCUAAUGAA